GUCGAGCGCGGGAAGCAAGCUGAUCCUCUUCGGAGGUGACGCUUGUGGAACGAGCGGCGGACGGGUGAGUAACACGUGGGCAACCUGCCUGUAAGACUGGGAUAACCCCGGGAAACCGGGGCUAAUACCGGAUAAUACUUUUCAUCACCUGAUGGGAAGUUGAAAGGUGGCUUUUAGCUACCACUUACAGAUGGGCCCGCGGCGCAUUAGCUAGUUGGUGAGGUAACGGCUCACCAAGGCAACGAUGCGUAGCCGACCUGAGAGGGUGAUCGGCCACACUGGGACUGAGACACGGCCCAGACUCCUACGGGAGGCAGCAGUAGGGAAUCUUCCGCAAUGGACGAAAGUCUGACGGAGCAACGCCGCGUGAGUGAUGAAGGUUUUCGGAUCGUAAAGCUCUGUUGUUAGGGAAGAACAAGUGCCGUUCGAAUAGGGCGGCACCUUGACGGUACCUAACCAGAAAGCCCCGGCUAACUACGUGCCAGCAGCCGCGGUAAUACGUAGGGGGCAAGCGUUGUCCGGAAUUAUUGGGCGUAAAGCGCGCGCAGGCGGUCCUUUAAGUCUGAUGUGAAAGCCCACGGCUCAACCGUGGAGGGUCAUUGGAAACUGGAGGACUUGAGUACAGAAGAGGAGAGUGGAAUUCCACGUGUAGCGGUGAAAUGCGUAGAGAUGUGGAGGAACACCAGUGGCGAAGGCGACUCUCUGGUCUGUAACUGACGCUGAGGCGCGAAAGCGUGGGGAGCGAACAGGAUUAGAUACCCUGGUAGUCCACGCCGUAAACGAUGAGUGCUAGGUGUUAGGGGGUUUCCGCCCCUUAGUGCUGAAGUAACGCAUAAGCACUCC
rnacentral:rRNA from 1 species